AUUUGGUUUGCAUUUUAUAGACAAAUCUGGUGCUGCUGGGAGAAUGACUUGACAAGGAGCGAGUGGGGGAACCCCGAGUGCCGCCCAGGACAAGAUUGGCACUGAGCGAGUGGCAGUGGAGACAGCCUGAGGUUUGUUGAUUCCAGACCUCCUUUGAUGUAUUUUGGAGGUUAAAUCUACAGGACAUAUGGAUGGUUUAUAUUCAGGGCUGAGCAAAAGGGAGCUGUCAAGGAUGUGCCACUCCUAGAUUUCCAAUUACGACAAGAAGCCGUGAUUGACUCAAGUGUGGGAGACUCAAGUUCCUUAUAUGAUGCACUGUGGGCUCUCAAGCAAGCAGUGGAGAAGAAAAGUGUGAGUCUCCUAGGGAUAGAACUCUGCCCUGCGAUCUGUGUUUAAGAUGUAUUGGCAAAUAGAUGCCAUUUAAAGCUAUGGAACUGAUGUAAUUAUUUAGCAAGAGAAUAUACAGAGAAAAAACAAUAGGGCCAAGAUCUGUUCUGAGAAGACACCAACAUUUAGAGAAGGUUGGGUGAGGAGAAACUCACAGAGCAGAGAGAGAGGGAAGGAAGCCCAGCAGAAUGAGGUAUUGCAGAAGCUGAGGCCAGGCUAGAUCGAGGUGGGGGCAGUAGCUGGGGUUAGUGCUGCCCAUAGAUUGGGAAACAUGAGAAUGACCACUGGGUUUGGAAACAGGAGGCUGUGCUGGUAUAAGUGGUGGGGAACAGCCUAGACUGGGCAAUUGAAGAUUGAAUGAAAGGUAAGGAAGCAGGGCAAUGUGUGCAGACCACUCGUUCUGGGCACAUUGCUUCCCAGUUCCCUUGCAGUUAGAUGAGGUCACAUUCCUAAUUCUGGCCAGUGAAAUGUGAGCAAAGUGCUACCUCUCAUUCCGGGUUGAUCGAGUGAAAACACCCUGGACACCCUUCCUGCUCCCUCCUUCUGCUGAGGAGGCUGCUGGUUCCAGAUGAAGUAGCUAUGAGAUGGUGGAGCCUCCAUCAGCUUCAAUCCCAAGUGACUGUGUGGAGCAGAGUCUUCUUCCCUACAGCUGAUAGGAUGCUUCAGUAGAAAGUGGAAAUGCUGUCUCCCGAAUUUGCUGAACGAUGAUGUUCUGAGGAGACCUGCACUUGAGAACAAAAGUGACUACUCUUUUGUCCUAAUCUUAAAUCCCAUCACCUUGGCUGCAACUGCUGAGUGCUGGUAAUGAGUGUUGAGAGGCAAUCCGAGGAUGGUGAUUAGGUAUUAAGCCUGGGCAGGUAUUAACCGAGAGGUGUGUGGACCUUUCGCUCAGCACCACAAGAGCAGAUCUCUGCCAGCAAGCUUAUCUGGCCAUCAGCCAGGGACAGAGCUGCACUGUGGCAAAGUGAAAUGUGAUUUUAAUGAUUCUGAGCACAUGGUUUCUGCCUCCAGCAUGCUAGAUUUGUAGACUGGCAUUUUUUUUCCCUUGGGUAGAUUCCAGAUGUUGUAUAACUUGUGCCUUUCUAAGUUACAGCAUGGUAGAUGGGGACUUGUCUUUGUUAUGAGCAUGUACAAUGUGGGUCGCAGUUAAGCACUGUCAAAUAGCCUCCUAAAAGAUGAGUUUGUGUGGAAUAAAGCAC
rnacentral:lncRNA from 1 species